AUUAUUUUGAAUGAUUUUUCAACAAAUUUUUAGUAAAAUUCUGAGGUAUCAACAAUAUUUUAGUAAAGUGUAUCAAGUUAGUAUCUUAUAGUUUCACACUUUCUUACUUUUAUAUUCUGUGGUUUAAAGUGAAUCAAGUUAGUGCCCUGUGAUUUCGCACUUUCUCAUUUUAGUAUCCUGUGGUUUAAUAUUUCAUUAAGAGAAAAAUAAAACCGCAGGGAACUAGUUUGAUACAAAAAUAAAACCACAUAGGACUAACUUGAUACAAAAAUAAAACCACAGAGUACUAAUUUUAUACACUUUAAACUACAGGGUACUAAAGUAAGAAAGUGCGAAACCACAGGAUACUAACUUGAUACACUUUAAAUCAUAGGGUACUAAAAUGAAAAAGUACGAAACUAUAUGGGGGUUUUUGAAAUUUUUCCAAAAAUUAUUAAUAGUUGAUAUCUAAAGUUUUAAAUUUAAAUUUUAGUUAUUUUAUUUUUUUAGUUAAAUUAUUUUUUUAGGCACCAUUUGGGGGAUAGGGAUAGGGAUAACUUCUAUCCCCCUUUAUAUCCAAACGUUAAUUUUUUAUCCGAAAAUAGUAGUUCUCGAUUAUCUAUAAUAAUCGGGUAUAACAAUACCCACCAAUAUUUUCAUUUUUUAUAUAAAACUACCCAUCAUUUUUUUUAUUCCAUAUUAUCUAUCCAAACGUUAUUUUUUUUAUCCCCGAAAACAAUUCAAUUUUAAUCCAAACAUUAUUUUUCUUAUCCCCAUACUUGUAUCUAUUUCUAUAAUAGCUAAUUUUUACUUGUGUCCGAACCAAAUACUACAUUAAUAAACGAUACAGAUAUAUAGCAUACGGACUUUUUUCGAAAAUGACCCUGUAAAAUUUCGUAUUUGCCAAACUAACCCUGUGAAAUUUUUAUUUGUGAAACUAAUCCUCCUCUCGCCACGUGGGCGCCACGUCAGGGAUUCCUCAAAAAGACGGUGAAUCGUUCACCGUCUUUGAUAUUUGUUGUGAAGGCGGUGAAUGGUUCACCGUCUUCAUAAGACGGUGAACCAUUCACCGUCUUUAGUACAAAUCCCUACACUGCGCAAAUCUUUUCAAGUCCAUAAUAUGGUGUCCUUGAUAAGACGGUGAAUCGUUCACCGUCUUCUCGAGGGCACAGAAAAGGCAAACUUGAGAGAGCCGAAAGAGAAAUUUUGCACUAAAGGCGGUGAAUGAUUUACCGUCUUCUAAAGACGGUGAACCAUUCACCGCUUUUACAACAAAUUACAAAGACGGUGAACGAUUCACCGCCUUUUUGAAGAAUCACUGACGUGAUGCCCACGUGGCGAAAGGAAGGUUAGUUUUACAAAUAAAAAUUUCACGGAAUUAAUUUGGCAAAUAUAAACUUUUACAGAGUUAUUUUUGAAAAAAGUUCAUAGCAUACACCUUCCGCACUCCCUAAAAAACAAAAAAAAAAGAAGCUUUUUUGAAGAAUUUGAUAUGACGAUUUGAUUGAUAGUAUUUAGGCCCAGUUUGAUAGAGCAAUGCUACCUCUAUAUUUAUUUAUAUUAUAUAAAUUUUAUAUCAUGCUCCCCCAAAUAUUAUUAUUUUCUAACUAGUCUUGUAAAUUUUUUUAAUACUAAUUUUUUUAAAAGGAACUUAUGAAUCUUAGGAUGAGUGGGAUGUGAUAUUCACACCUAUUUAUAGGUGUGCACGUAGUAUUUUUUUAGUUUGAUAAUAUAAUCACUACAAGCUUAAAAUAUUAAUAAAUANUACACUAGAUCAAGUUUUACGAAGCCGAUCGUUGAUUCGAAAACUCCAUCAUCGAAAACGGCUCAAGAGCACGGAAGCCUCCGUGCUCCUGAGAGCACAGCAACCCUGCUCCUACAAUGUGAUUGUAAUUUGUUGUGAUCGCUGCUGUUGUGGAGGAUCUUAAUAAAAAUAUUGUUGAUACCUCAGAAUUUUACUAAAAAUUUGUUGAAAAAUCAUUCAAAAUAAUUGUAUAACUCUGGCGAGUUAAUGCAAGUCCCUAAACAAUGUUUGAUUUUAGAGACUGUUGCAAUAUGGAAACAAUAAUACUUACGAUUCUCGUCCUCAGCUUUACCUCCAUAGUAUUUGAUUAGAAAUAGCAAAAAUAAGUUACAAUAAGGGAAAACUUCAAAAACCCCCUCUGUGGUUCCACACUUUUUUAUUUUAGUACCCUGUGGUUUAAAGUGUAUCAACUUAGUACAUUGUGGUUUCUCACUUUAUCACUUUAGUACCCUGUGGUUUAAAGUGUAUCAAGUUAGUACCCUGUGGUUUUGCAUUUUAUCACUUUAGUACCCUGUGGUUUUAAUUUUGUAUCAAAUUAGUACCCUGUGAUUUUUUAAACUAUAGGGUACUAAAGUGAUAAAGUGUGAAACCACAGGGUACUAAAGUGAUAAAGUGCAAAACCACAGAGUACUAACUUGAUACACUUUAAACCACAGGGUACUAAAGUGAUAAAGUGAGAAACCACAGGGUACUAAGUUGAUACACUUUAAACCACAGGGUACUAAAAUAAAAAAGUGUGGAACCACAGAGGGGGUUUUUGAAGUUUUCCCUUAUUGUAACUUAUUUUUGCUAUUUCUAAUCAAAUACUAUGGAGGUAAAGCUGAGGACGAGAAUCGUAAGUAUUAUUGUUUCCAUAUUGCAACAGUCUCUAAAAUCAAACAUUGUUUAGGGACUUGCAUUAACUCGCCAGAGUUAUACAAUUAUUUUGAAUGAUUUUUCAACAAAUUUUUAGUAAAAUUCUGAGGUAUCAACAAUAUUUUUAUUAAGAUCCUCCACAACAGCAGCGAUCACAACAAAUUACAAUCACAUUGUAGGAGCAGGGUUGCUGUGCUCUCAGGAGCACGGAGGCUUCCGUGCUCUUGAGCCGUUUUCGAUGAUGGAGUUUUCGAAUCAACGAUCGGCUUCGUAAAACUUGAUCUAGUGUACUUGAAGUUUCUAGAAAAUAAUAUUUGCGAUUUUUCGAUAUCAUUUACCUAGUAAUCGAAAGGAUUCAAAAUCAAUAAUUUUUAACGGCUGAAAAUAAAAAUUCUAUAAAAAGUGGUGAUAUAACACUAAAAAUUUCGAUCAGAAAUAUUAAUUUUGUUGUAGAUAGUAUAAAAAAUUUUGUAUCAAAAUUUCAUCUGAUUUGAAUACUUCUACACCGUUAAACUUGAAAACGGCAGAUAUCAACCAUUAAAAAUUAUGGAUUUUGAAUCAUUUCAAUCACUAGGUAAAUGAUAUCAAAAAAUCGCAAAAAUUAUUUUCUAGAAACUUCAAAUGCGCUAGAUCAAAGUCUAACGGAGCCGAUCGUCGAUUCGAAAAUUUUAUCAUCAAAAACGGCUC
rnacentral:lncRNA from 1 species